rnacentral:rRNA from 1 species
CGUGUAGGCGGUUCUGCAAGUCAGAUGUGAAAUCUCCGGGCUUAACCCGGAAGCUGCAUCUGAAACUGCAGAACUUGAGUACUGGAGAGGAUAGUGGAAUUCCUAGUGUAGCGGUAAAAUGCGUAGAUAUUAGGAGGAACACCAGUGGCGAAGGCGGCUAUCUGGACAGUAACUGACGCUGAGGCGCGAAAGCGUGGGGAGCAAACA